rnacentral:rRNA from 1 species
AUUGAACGCUGGCGGAAUGCUUUACACAUGCAAGUCGAACGGUAGAGGGGGCAACCCCUUGAGAGUGGCGAACGGGUGAGUAAUGUAUCGGAACGUGCCCAGUCGUGGGGGAUAACGUAGUGAAAAUUACGCUAAUACCGCAUACGAUCUAUGGAUGAAAGCGGGGGAUCGCAAGACCUCGCGCGAUUGGAGCGGCCGAUAUCAGAUUAGGUAGUUGGUGGGGUAAAGGCUCACCAAGCCAACGAUCUGGAGCUGGUCUGAGAGGACGACCAGCCACACUGGAACUGAGACACGGUCCAGACUCCUACGGGAGGCAGCAGGGGGGAAUUUUGGACAAUGGACGCAAGUCUGAUCCAGCUAUUCCGCGUGCAGGACGAAGGCGUUCGGGUUGUAAACUGCUUUCGUACGGAACGAAAAAGCUCUUAUUAAUACUAGGAGUCCAUGACGGUACCGUAAGAAUAAGCACCGGCUAACUACGUGCCAGCAGCCGCGGUAA